rnacentral:tRNA from 1 species
GCCCUUGUAGCUCAGUGGUAGAGCACUGGUCUCGUAAACCAGGGGUCGCGAGUUCAAUCCUCGUUGAGGGCU